UGGGGAAUCUUGCGCAAUGGGCGAAAGCCUGACGCAGCCAUGCCGCGUGGAUGAUGAAGGUCUUAGGAUUGUAAAAUCCUUUCACCGGUGAAGAUAAUGACUGUAGCCGGAGAAGAAGCCCCGGCUAACUUCGUGCCAGCAGCCGCGGUAAUACGAAGGGGGCUAGCGUUGCUCGGAAUUACUGGGCGUAAAGGGAGCGUAGGCGGACAUUUAAGUCAGGGGUGAAAUCCCGAGGCUCAACCUCGGAACUGCCUUUGAUACUGGGUGUCUUGAGUGUGAGAGAGGUAUGUGGAACUCCGAGUGUAGAGGUGAAAUUCGUAGAUAUUCGGAAGAACACCAGUGGCGAAGGCGACAUACUGGCUCAUUACUGACGCUGAGGCUCAAAGCGUGGGGAGCAAACAGGAUUAGAUACCCUGGUAGUCCACGCCGUAAAGCGAUGAUUUGCNAGUUGUCGGGGAAANCUUGCUUUUUCGGUGACGCAGCUAAC
rnacentral:rRNA from 1 species